UUUUUUUUUUUUUAAGACAGAGUCUCACUCUGUCCCCAAGGCUGGAAUGAAGUGGUGCGAUCUUGGCUCACUGCAACCUCUGCCUCCUGGGUUCAAGCGAUUCUUGUGCCUCAGUCUCCCCAGUAGCUGGGAUUACAAGGGCAUGCCAACACUCCCUGCUAAUUUUUUAUAUUUUUAGUAGAGACAGGGUUUCACCAUGUUGCCUAGGCUGGUCUUGAACUCCUGAGCUCAGGCAAUCCACCCACCUCGGCCUCCCAAAGUGCUGAGAUUACAGGUGUGAGCCACCGUGCCUGGUCUGACCUGUGCUUUUCACCUUCUCUGCACACCUGUGUGCCCUUUCUACAUGGGGCCUCAACUCCAGACCCCGCAAACAACAACUAACAUGAGGACAACUGCUGGGAAGAGGCUGAAGCAAUUGCAGCAUGAUCACACAAGUGAUAACCACCAAGCCAAAGGGACAGGAAGCUCUCGGCAUUGUUGGUGUUUUACUCAAGCCAUGGUAAAUAACUAGAAGUUCAAUGCCUGGAUCAUGUAGCAGGUUUGUAUUUGACUAUGUUUAGCUUAUAUUCCCUCCACCAAUUAAGGAGGGUUCCAGCUAUUCUACAUCCUCACCAAUACUUGGCUUGGUCAUCAUCUGUAAUUUGAGAUAUCUUAAUUAGUAUCAAGUGAUGUCUUAUUCCCUAAUGACAUAUAAUGUUGCAUAUCUUUUUCUGUGCUUAUUUGCCAUUCAUAUGAUUGUCUUUGUUCAAAUGUCUGUAAAAACUUACCAUUUUUAAUGGUUGUUUGCUUUCUUACACUUGGACUUUAAGAGUUCUCUAUAUAUAUAGCCGAUAAAAGUUAUUUAUCAGGUAUGUGAUUUAUAAAUAUUUUCUUCUAGAUGGGUAGCACAUCAUAAUAGGAAUAGAAAACAGUCAGAGAUACAACUCUGUCAGAGAUACAAUGGUUGAUCUUGGGGUGGUAUCACAGCAGAUUACAAUAGGGCUGCAUUCCUCAUUC
rnacentral:lncRNA from 1 species